AUGCCGUGGCCCCGCACCUCCCGCACCUCAGCUUCGAGUACAGUGGGCCUGAAAUGUACCGUACGGGUCCUCCACGUUCAGUGGACGGGGAUCAGCCGGACUAGAUCGACAGCUGUCACCACAGUCCACCAGAACAUCAGCACCAGCAGAUCGCUUGCACCGAGGCAGUUGCACGCAUUUUGCACAGUCAUAUCUGUAUUUGAGAGGGGCGCCCCCUGGUGGAAAAACAUCGCAUCAGCCUUUAUUCUUUUUACCUCAAGAAUGACUGCUUACUGUAGAUGCAUGGCUCCAGGCUCGGGCCCUCUUGAAGUCCAGGCUGCCUUCACCUGUGCAUAACAAGAUCCCUGAUUGAUUUUGUGCGCUGGGGGAAAAAAAAAGCUCUCCUGAGGUUUGUGCGAUACUGGUCCAGAUGUAAAUCUUGAAUGUAGAUUCUUUUUUUCCAUUUCCAUAAAUGUCUGUAUUGCUUGCUUUGUCUUCACACCAUUUAAAUAUACGUUUACUGUUACAAAAACGCAGUUUUGCCACCGGUCAAUAGCCGAUGGUACAGCGAAUGAAGGUCAUGCUGGGGAUUUCUGUCUAAUUGCAGCCCCGCACACAGUCUCUGGUGUCGGCCCCAGCGGAGCAGGAGGGUGUGGCACCGGCCACAGCGCUCUGACUUGAAUUACACCGAGCAAUGGAACAGUCCAGACUGGCUGCACCUGCCAGAGCCGCCCCACAAUGGCUGUUCAUCUCAGCUCCAGCAGACGGACUCAGGCUGCAGCCGGGUUCAGAAUCAGGUCAUUUCAUAUUACAGGACCUAAAUCUCCGGGUGCUGCAGAAGCCCCUGAGCUGUAACUAUAUUAAGAAGGUGUCACGGGCCUGAUAUAUAGACUUUGCAUUAAUGGCAUAGUUACUUCGUGUGUGGUGCAUCUGAGACGUGAACGAGCGUGGUUUAAUGAUAUUUGGGGCUUUAUGACAAAGCAUGAGUCUUUUGUGUUGAACCAUAAUGGUGCUGUGUCAGAUUGGAAGCCUCUCUAUGGCCACAUUAGUCUGUCAUGCUAACGUAUAGCAUAGAGUUUAACACUUAGCCUCAUCUGUGCCGUCAGGUUGCUCGGUUCGGAACAGCAGUCAGUGCGUACAGAGGUUUGGAUUUAAAGGCAGAAUGACGACUACAGUAUGUUGUUUCAAAUGUUUCCUCGCUGUAUGUGUUCAAAAAUGAGAUUAUUAUUUAAACAUUUUAAGAUAACGCAAGACGGGGAAGUCGACGCAGCGUGUGAGGUGAGGUGACACUGAGGUGACAUUUAUAACGGAUUAGACGGAUAAUUCUGUAUCUGUGAGUGGAUAUUUCUGUCAGGAUUGAAAACACGGGGAAUCUGAAACACAGUUUAAUUCCAGGUGUUAAUGUAACAUGGAUAAUUCAUAUCGGAACACAAUCUGGACACGAGCGGAAUGUUAACAUGCUGCCGCGACUGCACGACACGAGCCGAGAGGAGCCCGGCGGCCGAGACGGAGACGUCCGCGGGUGACGCGUCCAGUAGAUUGGGAUCGAACCAGAGGAGCUGCCUCCACUUAGACCUCACUUCAAUAAACUCGACGUUUCUCCGCGUCUGCCUGUUUGU
ensembl:lncRNA